rnacentral:rRNA from 1 species
GAUGAACGCUAGCGGCAGGCCUAAUACAUGCAAGUCGAGCGGCAAGUUGGGUAGUAAUACUUGACCUAGAGCGGCGCACGGGUGCGUAACGCGUAUGCAACCUACCUUUUACUGGGGGAUAGCCCGGAGAAAUCUGGAUUAAUACCCCAUAGUACCUAAGGAUCGAUUGGUUUUUAGUUUAAAGAUUUAUCGGUAAAAGAUGGGCAUGCGUCUGAUUAGCUAGUUGGCGGGGUAACGGCCCACCAAGGCGACGAUCAGUAGGGGUUCGUGAGAGGAAGGUCCCCCGACCACUGGCACUGAGAUACGGGCCAGACUCCUACGGGAGGGCAGCAGUGGGGAAUUUUGGACAAUGGGCGCAAGCCUGAUCCAGCAAUGCCGCGUGCAGGAAGAAGGCCUUCGGGUUGUAAACUGCUUUUGUACGGAACGAAAAGGUCUGGGUUAAUACCCUGGGCUCAUGACGGUACCGUAAGAAUAAGCACCGGCUAACUACGUG